rnacentral:lncRNA from 1 species
UUUAGAUGUGUUGGAACUUUUAUAGAAUGACGACAUACAAAUGUCGGAUUCACCGUAAUCAAAAUUUAUAGGAAUUGCAAAUCAAAUAGAAACCAUUCUAACUUCUAACUUAACAACUCUGUACAAUACAACCAUUCUAAAAAAAAUGAGCUAAAAGAUUGACAUAAUAUAUGAUACAAAAAUUGUCAUUCACCUUCUAAACUUCAUCAAUCCAAAAUUAAAAUAGAACUAUGAUUUGAACAAACAAAGAGAACUAAUUGGCAUCUCUCCAAAGCAUUUUCAACAUUUUCAUUUACCAGCCCAAUGUCAAAUGUAAUGCAGCAGGCACAGUACUCUCAAUAUCCAUUCUACUUGCAACACUAAAUAAUACUCUAUAACCUUCGUAUAUAGUGAUAAAAUACUGGUCAUUGAAUAAACAAAAUUCAGCAGGCAUGCUCAAUUGAAAAUGAACAACAAGUAAUCCACUCAGUUGAAGAUGAACAUCAACACAAACCCAGAAUUUAAGACAAGAAUUGUUCUUUAUACAACAACAAUAAACCCAGAAUUUUAAUACAGGAACAUUCGAAGAGUGUAAAAUCUAUGAAUUUAUAACAGUAUCCAUGGCCACAAAAUGAAAUAGCAAUGAUGGCCCAAGUCUAAUUUUGCAUAAAAUUAAACAUUCCAACAAUUACCGUAAACAUUGUAGAAUUGAUUCCGCGGAAAUGGACCAUCAACAGGAGGUCGUUGCUUGCUGGAUUUUGAACAUCGAAACAAUCGAGGAUUUCCCAAGUCUAUCCAUUACUUUGGUGUUGACUCGCAUACUUCCGCUUCGCUUUCCGCCUUUUAAUCCUUUUGGUACUGAAACUGGCGGAGCAAUUGUUCUGCAAAAAUAGAAAUUAAACUUGCAAACAGAUUAAAUAUUAAACCACAGCCAACACCGAUAAUUUGUGAAAGGUUAGUUGCGAGUCCAUUGAUUAGAACGGAGACAGUGGCGGUGGUUGACGAAGAAGCCGUGAGAUGGACGUCACAGGUGAAGGUUGAAGGUGAGUUCUGGGCUUGGUAGCGGAAGUGGAAUCGGUGUAAGCGUCGCGGUUUUGAAGGUGUUAGGUGUUGCGAUUUGGGUUUAAAGGUGUUGGAAAAGGAUCGCGGAGGAGAGCGGUGGAGGGUUUCGUGUGAGGUUCCGUCAAAGGUAGAGAACGAUGGUGGAGAUGGGAAGAGGAAAAUGAAGGUUAAGCGGCGGUGGCGGCUUCACGGAAGAUGAAGGGCGAUUGAAGCGAUUUGGUGGCCGGUGAUGGAAGGAUUUAUGGAUUGUGACGGCAAUGGUGAUUUGGGUCGGUAGCGUGAGCUUGAGCGGAAGGUUUCGCCGGUGACGAAAAGGCGGAUGAAGGAAUUUCGGCUUGGGUUUUGUGGAUUUGAGAAUGAGAUGUGAAGGUGAGGGAGAGUGACUUGUGUGGAAGGGUUUUGUUUGAUGGUUUUUUGUGAGAGAGAUGAGUGAAUCCGAGAGUGAGGUUUUCUGUGUGAGAGUUGAGAGAGUGAAUGGAGUGUGAGCGUGAGAUGUGAGCGAGAGAAUAUCUUUUAUUACCUUUAUUUUUUGUCGUUUAUGUCGGUACGAGAGAGAGGAAUGGGGUCAGGUUGUUAGUAGUGGAGAGUGUUUUUGUAGUGCAGAGAGACGUUGGGAUAGUGAGAUUCUUAUCAUUUAUUUUUUGUUUUUUAAAAGAGAUAAGAGAAUCCAAUGCUAAUAAUAUAUACAUUAUUAAAUAACAAAUUAUUAAAGCAAAGCUAAUUAAUAUUUAAAAAAACCUAAAUAAUAUUUUAAAUAAACUAACUAUUAUUUAACUAAUGUUUUAAAACAAACUAAUAUUUACUUAAAUAAACUAAUAUCUACUUAAAAUAGCUAAUACUUAAAACAACUAAUUUAAUAUUUUUAAAAAAACUAUUCUAAUUUUUUUAAUAAAAUACCAACAAAAUAUUUGACCAGUUAUAAAAAUAAAGAAAAAACCGAGUACAAAUUUUAAUCGAAAAAAUUAAACCAGUCACACUAAAAUUGUCAGCAAAGAAACCAACUUAUUAAAAAUACAGUCUUUCCUUCGAUUCAACCGAUUUUUCUGUAUUCUCAAAUAAAUUCAUCCUGACCGACAUUUCAGGUAUUAUUCAUGAUGCAAAUGUAUGUCAUGUUAUGCAUAUGAUGUUAUAAUAAAAAUGAAAUCGAUUCUAUGAUAAUUUAAAUAUGCCCGGACAAAAUUGGGGUACGACANAGUCCAUUGAUUAGAACGGAGACAGUGGCGGUGGUUGACGAAGAAGCCGUGAGAUGGCCGUCACAGGUGAAGGUUGAAGGUGAGUUCUGGGCUUGGUAGCGGAAGUGGAAUCGGUGUAAGCGUCGCGGUUUUGAAGGUGUUAGGUGUUGCGAUUUGGGUUUAAAGGUGUUGGAAAAGGAUCGCGGAGGAGAGCGGUGGAGGGUUUCGUGUGAGGUUCCGUCAAAGGUAGAGAACGAUGGUGGAGAUGGGAAGAGGAAAAUGAAGGUUAAGCGGCGGUGGCGGCUUCACGGAAGAUGAAGGGCGAUUGAAGCGAUUUGGUGGCCGGUGAUGGAAGGAUUUAUGGAUUGUGACGGCAAUGGUGAUUUGGGUCGGUAGCGUGAGCUUGAGCGGAAGGUUUCGCCGGUGACGAAAAGGCGGAUGAAGGAAUUUCGGCUUGGGUUUUGUGGAUUUGAGAAUGAGAUGUGAAGGUGAGGGAGAGUGACUUGUGUGGAAGGGUUUUGUUUGAUGGUUUUUUG